UACGAAGGGGGCUAGCGUUGUUCGGAAUUACUGGGCGUAAAGCGCGUGUAGGCGGGUCCUUAAGUCAGGGGUGAAAUGCCGAGGCUCAACCUCGGAACUGCCUUUGAUACUGGGGAUCUUGAGUCCGGGAGAGGUGAGUGGAACUAGGAGUGUAGAGGUGAAAUUCGUAGAUAUUCGCAAGAACACCAGUGGCGAAGGCGGCUCACUGGCCCGGUACUGACGCUGAGGUGCGAAAGCGUGGGGAGCAAACAGG
rnacentral:rRNA from 1 species